rnacentral:rRNA from 1 species
AACGAACGCUGGCGGCGUGGAUAAGACAUGCAAGUCGAACGGGAUCAAGUUUGUAGCAAUACAAAUUUGGUCCAGUGGCAAACGGGUGCGUAACACGUGAGCAAUCUGCCGGGAAGUGGGGGAUAGCUCGCCGAAAGGCGAAUUAAUACCGCAUAUGGCCAGGAAGGACAUCCUUCCGAAGCCAAAGUCGCAAGACGCUUCCUGAUGAGCUCGCGGCCUAUCAGCUAGUUGGUGAGGUAACGGCUCACCAAGGCUAUGACGGGUAGCUGGUCUGAGAGGACGACCAGUCACACUGGAACUGAGACACGGUCCAGACACCUACGGGUGGCUG